CUGAACCUAAGCCGAAGGGAGGGCAACAGUCGGGCAGUUUACCUUCCAGAGGCUGAUAAUGCUCUCUCACUGGAGGAUGCAGCCAAGGAGGAAGUCCGCCAGCCUGCCAAGAUGAAAUGCCUUGAAGGCCCACACUUAAACCAAAGGCCAGGCAAGACCUGCCGCCCUUUGGCUCCCAAGGAGGAACUGGUGUCUGCCUCCCAAUUGGAGGAAGAGGAAGAGAAUGAAGAGGAGGAUCUGGAUCCAGACCCGGAGGAGGAGGAGGAGGAAGAGAAUGAUCUUGGGGAUCCAAAUGUAUUCAGCACUGUCCAUAACACCCAGAGAGGUCUGCUCGGCUCCCCUGGAGUCAAGGACCGUGGUGUGCUGGGGAUGUCAUCUGCCUCCUUGCAUUUUCUGUGGCAGACCCUGGACUACUUGUCGCCAAUCCCUUUCUGGCCUACGUUUCCCAGUGCCAGCUCUCCAGCACGCCACUUUGGACCUCGACUGCACUCACCAGACCCAUCGAUCUUUUGUAGCCUGCCAACCUCGUGGCCCUCUAGGUUCAGUCUUCCCAGUCACCUGACUCAGCUCCACCCUGAGCACCAACGGAUCCUGCAGCAACAGCAGCAUAGUCAAACUCGAAGUCCCCCAGCCAAGAAGCCUUGGUCUCAGCAGCCAGACCCCUAUGCUAACCUCAUGACCCAAAAAGAGAAGGACUGGGUGAUAAAAGUGCAGAUGGUUCAGCUGCAGAGUGAGAACCCUCACCUGGAUGACUACUACUACCAGGAGUAUUAUCAGAAGCUAGAGAAGAGGCAGGCAGAUGAAGAGCUACUUGGACGAAAGAACAAGGUUGAAUUCCUCAAGCUGGUAACACCUUACAUUCAGAAGGCAGAGGCUUAUGAGUCAGUGGUUCGAAUUGAGGGUUCCCUGGGCCAGGUAGCUGUAUCGACGUGUUUUAGCCCUCGCCGAGCUAUUGAUGCCGUACUCCAUGGAACUCAAGAGCAGGAUACAGGAACUGCAAGUAGCCAGAGGCUUCGGGUGUUAUAUCGAAUUGAGAAGAUGUUCCUUCAGUUACUAGCAAUAGAGGAGAGCCAGAAGGAUGGGCCUCCACAGCCCCGCUUCUCCAAGCUGCAGAGCAACCAGGUUGAGCAGCUUUUCCAGGCCUUAAAGACCCAGGAGCAGAACAGCCUGGAGGAGGCAACAGAUGGUUUCCUGCAGGUACUCUCUGUGAGGAAGGGGAAGGCCCUGGUGGCCCGGCUGCUCCCCUUCCUGCCCCAGGAUCAGGCUGUUAGCCUCCUUCUGGCUAUCAUGCACCACCUGCCCCUCCUGGUCCGAAGGGACAUGGCUGACCAGGCCCUACACAUGUUGUUCAAACCUCUGGGCAAAUGCAUCAGUCACUUGACCUUCCAUGAACUCCUCCAAGGACUUCAGGGUCUACUGCUGCUACCACCUGGCUCCUCAGAGCGGCCAGUCACUGUUGUGCUUCAAAAUCAGGUAACACAUUUGGUUGGCCUUUCUCUUUCCAUAUAUGGCUUCCAGGUGGUAUCACUGGUAAGGAAUAAGUGAGGGAAUAUCUUUUCUCUCCACAAAUCUUAUCCUCUGCAGUGGUUCUCAAUUUCUAGUGAGCAUAGGAUCACCUGGUGAGCUUAUUAAAUCUGGUUCCUUGGUCCCACCCACAGUCAUCAGUAGGUCUGGGUGGGGCCCAUGCACCUGCUUUUCUAACAAGCUCCCUGAUUGCUGCUGCUGGUGUGAGCCUCCUGAGCAGAGGUCUCUGAACUUCUGGCUGCAUGCCCCUUUUAGUAAGUUCUGAACCAUACCACCCAAGUUUUUACAAAUCACAUACAUGUAGCAUAUAUAUAUAUAUAUAUGUAUAAUGUAUAGACAUGUAAUAUUAGGUACAUAAUAAAUAAAAUUUUUGAAGGAUGAGACUCUAGAUGUGAAAGUUCUAAUAUCAUCAUCCAAUAUCUCAGAGGAUUAUCUUGUGUAACCCACUCUGAAGACCUUUGCUUAAAGUAGUGCUUCUUAAAGUGCAGUCCACAGACUACCUGCCUCAGAUUCCUGGAUCCAUUUCUAAUCUACAGACUGAUUCCUGAGGGUGGAGCCUAGAAGCAUGCACUUUAUCAGCUCUCCAAGAGUAUCUUUUGGGAAGUUCAGAACAGUGAUUCCUUUGGAAAGUUUGGAAUAUCUUUGCUCUAUGCCCUG